UACGGAGGGGGCAAGCGUUGUCCGGAUUUAUUGGGCGUAAAGAGCGUGUAGGCGGCUUUACAGGUCCGUUGUGAAAACUCGAGGCUCAACCUCGAGACGCCGGUGGAAACCGUAAAGCUAGAGUCCGGAAGAGGAGAGUGGAAUUCCUGGUGUAGCGGUGAAAUGCGCAGAUAUCAGGAGGAACACCCGUGGCGAAAGCGGCUCUCUGGGACGGUACUGACGCUGAGACGCGAAAGCGUGGGGAGCAAACAGG
rnacentral:rRNA from 1 species